rnacentral:rRNA from 1 species
GUGGGGAAUUUUGGACAAUGGGCGCAAGCCUGAUCCAGCAAUGCCGCGUGCAGGAAGAAGGCCUUCGGGUUGUAAACUGCUUUUGUACGGAACGAAACGGUCCUGGUUAAUACCCGGGGCUAAUGACGGUACCGUAAGAAUAAGCACCGGCUAACUACGUGCCAGCAGCCGCGGUUAUACGUAGGGUGCAAGCGUUAAUCGGAAUUACUGGGCGUAAAGCGUGCGCAGGCGGUGCUGUAAGACAGGCGUGAAAUCCCCGGGCUUAACCUGGGAAUGGCGCUUGUGACUGCAGUGCUGGAGUGUGGCAGAGGGGGAUGGAAUUCCGCGUGUAGCAGUGAAAUGCGUAGAUAUGCGGAGGAACACCGAUGGCGAAGGCAAUCCCCUGGGCCUGCACUGACGCUCAUGCACGAAAGCGUGGGGAGCAAACAGGAUUAGAAACCCUAGUAGUCC